rnacentral:misc_RNA from 1 species
GUGAAUCAUCAAAUUUUUGAACGCAAAUUGCGCCUUCUGUCGUGAGGCAUGUCUGUUUGAGGGCACCAUUUAACAAAUAAUGUGCGCGUCGUCUGUGCAUACUAUCGGCGUGCACACGUCGAGGAGCGUUUCCGAGAAAACCAGGUUUUGUCGGUUUUGCAUAAUGAACAGCGUUGGUUUUUUCUUUCGAUGCUCGUGAGGUAAGUAAAUUUCGACGCGUGGGUCGAG